UACCUGGUUGAUCCUGCCAGUAGUCAUAUGCUUGUCUCAAAGAUUAAGCCAUGCAUGUCUCAGUACAAGCUACAUUAAAGUGAAACCGCGAAAGGCUCAUUAAAUCAGUUAUGGUUCCUUAGAUCGUACCCACAUUUACUUGGAUAACUGUGGUAAUUCUAGAGCUAAUACAUGCCAACAGAGCUCCGACCGGAAACGGAAGGAGCGCUUUUAUUAGAUCAAAACCAAUCGGUGGCGGGUUCGCUCGUCAUCGUACAAUUUGGUGACUCUGAAUAACUUUACGCUGAUCGCACGGUCUAGCACCGGCGACGCAUCUUUCAAAUGUCUGCCUUAUCAACUGUCGAUGGUAGGUUCUGCGCCUACCAUGGUUGUAACGGGUAACGGGGAAUCAGGGUUCGAUUCCGGAGAGGGAGCCUGAGAAACGGCUACCACAUCCAAGGAAGGCAGCAGGCGCGCAAAUUACCCACUCCCGGCACGGGGAGGUAGUGACGAAAAAUAACGAUACGGGACUCAUCCGAGGCCCCGUAAUCGGAAUGAGUACACUCUAAACCCUUUAACGAGGAUCAAUUGGAGGGCAAGUCUGGUGCCAGCAGCCGCGGUAAUUCCAGCUCCAAUAGCGUAUAUUAAAGUUGUUGCGGUUAAAAAGCUCGUAGUCGAAUCUGUGUCCCGCGCCGCCGGUUCAUCGUUCGCGGUGUCAACUGGCGUGCCGCGGGACGUCCUGCCGGUGGGCUUAGCUCGCAAGAGCGGCCCAACUCAAUCCCGCCGCGGUGCUCUUUACUGAGUGUCGAGGUGGGCCGGCACGUUUACUUUGAACAAAUUAGAGUGCUUAAAGCAGGCCAAAAUUUCGCCUGAAUACUGUGUGCAUGGAAUAAUGGAAUAGGACCUCGGUUCUAUUUUGUUGGUUUUCGGAACCCCGAGGUAAUGAUUAAUAGGAACGGAUGGGGGCAUUCGUAUUGCGACGUUAGAGGUGAAAUUCUUGGAUCGUCGCAAGACGGACUUAAGCGAAAGCAUUUGCCAAAAACGUUUUCAUUGAUCAAGAACGAAAGUUAGAGGUUCGAAGGCGAUCAGAUACCGCCCUAGUUCUAACCAUAAACGAUGCCAGCUAGCGAUCCGCCGACGUUCCUCCGAUGACUCGGCGGGCAGCUUCCGGGAAACCAAAGCUUUUGGGUUCCGGGGGAAGUAUGGUUGCAAAGCUGAAACUUAAAGGAAUUGACGGAAGGGCACCACCAGGAGUGGAGCCUGCGGCUUAAUUUGACUCAACACGGGAAACCUCACCAGGCCCGGACACCGGAAGGAUUGACAGAUUGAGAGCUCUUUCUUGAUUCGGUGGGUGGUGGUGCAUGGCCGUUCUUAGUUG
rnacentral:rRNA from 1 species